UUCAAGCCAUGUAUGAAUUAGCAUUUAUAUGUAUUUGCACCGAGCGUCCCAGCAUGCAUAAGAUUGGUAAUAUAGUGAACGAGGGCCACAGUUUGGAUGUGAUUAGCAAGCAGCAUAAGUAAAAGCAUUCACAUAAACUGCUUUUCCUUUAAAGAAAUGCUGAUAAGAUUAUUCCCUCGGGUCCAAAAGCACAUGCAGACAUUUCUGUUCUGUUCUGCUCUUGAGCAAAGAAGCUAGCAGGAGGUCCGAAAAGUUACUUUAUCUUGUAAAGUCUCCAAAUGGGAAAUGACAGAUGAUAGUAAAGCUGUCACAGCUAAACUACACUUUAAAUUAAUGAUGGACUUGGUAGUUAAUGGUAAUUAAAAACGGUUGGCGUCCAUCAUCUUUUAGUAAAGUAAAAAUGUACGCAGCCUGCCGUCAUUCAAUAUUGUCUAUGCUAAUCUGCUAGCACCAUGAUUUGUGCCAGUCAGAUGUCUCCGGUUAUACGCCACUGCAAAUGAAAACACACACACACACACACAAAUAAAAACAGUACUGCGAGCUAAUGCUAAUGCUUUCGAGUGACCACACCAAAUACAGGAGAAUCAGUGACAUCAGCCAGACUUAGUUUUAAUGUAACCCAAUUGGCCCUGGGAAGAUUGAUAAGCGUUCACUUUGCACUUCAUUUUGCUUCCUGUUCAGAGUUCACACGUUUGAACUCAGGGUCGGUGGCACAGCACAUUAAAGUUUACACCAUUUACAUGUCAGGGAGAGAAUUCUCUUCACCAUGAGAUUUGACUCAGUGAGGAGGGCUUUAUUGCUUUGCAAAGGACAUAUCUUUGUCAGUUACUGUUAGAAUACAUGCAUCAGAACAUGACAAGUUUAGUAUUUUAGAAUUAAAAUUGAUAUAUAGCUUACAGUGCCCAGAACCUUGAAGUGCCAUUACAAUGACUUGUUGCAAAUGACCAAAUAAGCAAAUUCAUUUCAAACUCACAUUAUGCAUAUACAUUUUAUUGUGCAUUAUUCUUGUAAAUUACAACUCAUCAUAUUUU
ensembl:lncRNA